rnacentral:rRNA from 1 species
UACGUAGGGUGCAAGCGUUAAUCGGAAUUACUGGGCGUAAAGCGUGCGCAGGCGGUUAUGUAAGACAGAUGUGAAAUGCCCGGGCUUAACCUGGGAACUGCAUUUGUGACUGCAUGGCUAGAAUCUGGCAGAGGGGGGUAGAAUUCCACGUGUAGCAGUGAAAUGCGUAGAUAUCAGGAGGAAUACCGAUGGCGAAGGCAGGUCUCUGGGCUGACACUGACGCUCAUGCACGAAAGCGUGGGGAGCAAACAGG